UUCAAGCUGUCGAGUCCUAAAUAGGACGAAACGCGCGUCCUGGAU
rnacentral:hammerhead_ribozyme from 1 species